rnacentral:rRNA from 1 species
CAAGUCGAGCGCCCCGCAAGGGGAGCGGCAGACGGGUGAGUAACGCGUGGGAAUCUACCCUUGACUACGGAAUAACGCAGGGAAACUUGUGCUAUACCGUAUGUGUCCUUCGGGAGAAAGAUUUAUCGGUCAAGGAUGAGCCCGCGUUGGAUUAGCUAGUUGGUGGGGUAAAGGCCUACCAAGGCGACGAUCCAUAGCUGGUCUGAGAGGAUGAUCAGCCACAUUGGGAAGAGACACGGCCCAAACUCCUACGGGAGGCAGCAGUGGGGAAUAUUGGACAAUGGGCGCAAGCCUGAUCGAGCCAUGACGCGUGAGUGAAGAAGGCCUUAGGGUUGUAAAGCUCUUUCACCGGAGAAGAUAAUGACGGUAUCCGGAGAAGAAGCCCCGGCUAACUUCGUGCCGGCAGCCGCGGUAAUACGAAGGGGGCUAGCGUUGUUCGGAAUUACUGGGCGUAAAGCGCACGUAGCCGGAUCGAUCAGUCAGGGGUGAAAUCCCAGGGCUCAACCCUGGAACUGCCUUUGAUACUGUCGAUCUGGAGUAUGGAAGAGGUGAGUGGAAUUCCGAGUGUAGAGGUGAAAUUCGUAGAUAUUCGGAGGAACACCANUGGCGAAGGCGGCUCACUGGUCCAUUACUGACGCUGAGGUGCGAAAGCGUGGGAAGCAAGACAGAAUAAGAUAACCUGGUAGUCCACGCCGUAAACGAUGAAUGUUAGCCGUCGGGCAGUAUACUGUUCGGUGGCGCAGCUAACGCAUUAAACAUUCCGCCUGGGGAGUACGGUCGCAAGAUUAAAACUCAAAGGAAUUGACGGGGGCCC